GUAGGUGGCAAGCGUUGUCCGGAAUUAUUGGGCGUAAAGCGCGCGCAGGCGGGGUUUUUAAGUCUGAUGUGAAAGCCCACGGGCUCAACCGUGGAGGGUCAUUGGAAACUGGAGAACUUGAGUACAGAAGAGGAAAGCGGAAUUCCACGUGUAGCGGUGAAAUGCGUAGAGAUGUGGAGGAACACCAGUGGCGAAGGCGGCUUUCUGGUCUGUAACUGACGCUGAGGCGCGAAAGCGUGGGGAGCAAACAGGAUUAGAUACCCUGGUAGUCCACGCCGUAAACGAUGAGUGCUAAGUGUUAGGGGGUUUCCGCCCCUUAGUGCUGCAGCUAACGCAUUAAGCACUCCGCCCGGGGAGUACGGCCGCAAAGGCUG
rnacentral:rRNA from 1 species